UUUGUGUUCCUUUGCUAUUUUAGUCGGAUAAUAUUUUAUGUCAUUUCCGUUUUAUUUAAUAUCGUAAAGUUUCUAAAAUGAAUGUACUUCCUAUAAAGUUGGUGUCAAAUAUCUAAAAUGAAUGCGCCUCCUUCUGUACAUACAUUACAGUAUAUAAAAUGAUCCAUUUUAGAUACGAAGAAAUAAUGGCCGUAAUGUAGAACAAUUAUAUCUUGAAUUAUCAGAAUAUAAAAAAAUAUAUAUUAUAAAAAAUAAUUAAAAUAUUAUUUUUU
rnacentral:lncRNA from 1 species